rnacentral:rRNA from 1 species
AUUGAACGCUGGCGGAAUGCUUUACACAUGCAAGUCGAACGGCAGCACGGGGGCAGACAUGGUGGCAAGUAAAAAACAGGUAAGUAAUACACCGGAACGAGCCCAGUCGAGGGACACAACAUAGCAACAGUUACGCUAAUACCGCAUACGAUCUGAGGAUGAAAGCGGGGGACCUUCGGGCCUCGCGCGAUCGGAGCGGCCGAUGUCAGAUUAGGUAGUUGGUGGGGUAAAGGCCUACCAAGCCGACGAUCUGUAGCUGGUCUGAGAGGACGACCAGCCACACUGGUACUGAGACACGGCCCAGACUCCUACGGGAGGCAGCAGUGGGGAAUUUUGGACAAUGGUCGCAAGCCUGAUCCAGCCAUUCCGCGUGCAGGACGAAGGCCUUCGGGUUGUAAACUGCUUUUGUACGGAACUAAAAGGCUCUGGCUAAUACCUGGGGCUCAUGACGGUACCGUAAGAAUAAGCACCGGCUAACUACGUG